rnacentral:pre_miRNA from 1 species
CUGCCGAGAGGCUCGAGAAGGUAGAGGAGAUGGCGCAGGGGACACGAGCUAAAAUGGGGGGCUCCUGGGACCCCCCAACAUGUGUCCUCUUCUCCCUCCUCCCAGGUGUAUGA